GGUAGGGUGGCUGAGAAUAAGCGGUGGACUGUAGUCCCACAAACAGAGGUUCAAAUCCUCUUCCUAUCA
rnacentral:tRNA from 1 species